GGGGGUAUGAGUUAGUUGGGAAAUCGGACAGUUAAGAGGUUAGAAAGAGUGAGUGCGGAAGCUGGAGAGCGUGAGUGGAGGAGCCGGAGAGUAUGAAUCGGGAAGUUUAGAGCCGAGUAUGAUAAUAAGACGUACGACAAUAUUGUAAUCAGUUCGAUGUUUUGAAUAUUAUUUGUUAAACCAAAACAUCAUUACUUGGUCUUGCUCUAAAGACCCAUUUAAGUUACCACUUUAAUCCUUAGAGUGCUAUGGGCGCAUAUACGCGUCUGGCGAAAGCUAUCGGUGUGGACUAAGGACACAUAUAUACGUUUUCUCGAUCGUCAGCGCUAGCUGCGCGCCGUCCGUACGGACCGCAUAGGCUGCGAGUAUUCAGCACUCUAAGGGUUAAUAAUCGUAUUAUUGCAUCGCUUGGACAAUGAAGUCAAGGUACGAUGUGACCCUAGUGUAAACGCCGGGAUAUCCAGCUGCGGCGCACUUAUGACCAUAAGACAAAACCCUAUUUGAUAGAAGGUGAAUUUCUUUAAUAGCAUCAUUUUC
rnacentral:misc_RNA from 1 species